UGGGGUAAGUUGUCACCACUCUGUAGACUUCACUGAAGCUGCAACAAUUUACAUCUGGGGGUAGAUCCCCUGCUGAUUUUGGUUUUUCACAGGUCAGUGGCUUUGUGGACUAUCCCAUCACUGUUAUAUAGGCAAAGAGCUGCUGCCUCUGGAAGCGCGCGGUAAUUCAAUGUCUCCAGUUCUGAUGAGGAAGGUGGGCCAGAAGUCACAAGGAAAUGAAUGAAGUGGAAUUCCAAGAAAAAAUAUGAUAAAAACAAAAACGUUUUCUUGACAAGAAUGAAACCUCAGUGAUUUCCUGAUGAGCUCUGCUACCAAGACAGGAUGGCCUGAAAGUCCACAUUUAAGUGCCAGGAAGUCUUCCCUUGUAUAACUGGAUUUUAAAACCAUGCAAAAGGUUCAGAAGACUGGAAAUUUGAUAGGCAGCAGGAUGCUACAUGGUACAUUUCAGUGCACUUAACUCUGAUUAGCCAAAGUUUCAUUUGUGCAGUUCUGUAUUUCGUUUCACAUCACUUCAUUAUGACUACUACUAUUAUUUACAUUUUGCACAAAUAUUAUUCCACAUGAUACACUAGUAUGUCCUCCCCUCCCCAAACUGGAACAACUGUGCAAUACUCGUGUGCCAAAUAAAAAAAACCCCAUCUGA